UACGGGGGGAGCAAGCGUUGUUCGGAUUUACUGGCGUAAAGGGCGCGUAGGCGGCCAGCACAAGUCAGUUGUGAAAUCUCCGAGCUUAACUCGGAAAGGUCAACUGAUACUGUGCGGCUAGAGUGCGGAAGGGGCAACUGGAAUUCUUGGUGUAGCGGUGAAAUGCGUAGAUAUCAAGAGGAACACCUGCGGCGAAGGCGGGUUGCUGGGCCGACACUGACGCUGAGGCGCGAAAGCCAGGGAGCGAACGGG
rnacentral:rRNA from 1 species